UUUAAUUAAAAUGAACCAAAGCUUUGAAUUCUGCUAGGGUUUCAUUUAGCAGCCGCCGAACCACCAUCCAAUUUGGUGGUCGAUGGUGCACCAGCAAUGACCAGAUUCUGCCAACGAAGGCCACGCCCUAGGAAAUCUGGUAAGCUAUUCUUGCUCCUUUCUUUUUUCUUUUUUAAAAAUACUUUAGAUCCAAUAUUAUUCUUUCAAGAAAAACGUAGCAAAAUUCGAAAGAAAACACUCAACACCAUUCGACCCUCGCCCAUAUCUCUAUACUUCUAAGAUAUUUGGGCUCUCAUCGGUGUCAUUUCAGGUAUUCCUUCUAUUUUUUCACGCAAAAGAUUGCAAGCAAUUCGAAAAAAAGGAAAAAAACAAACAGAAUAAGAAAUCACCUUCGGAUAACUUUUAAUUCUCCUUUUUUUGCUAUUCAGUGUGCGUAAAAACUUAGAGUACACUCGGUGGCUUUUUAUAGCCGAAAAAAUAAGAAUUAAAAAUUAAAAAAAAUCUAUUUUUUUUUCUUUUCGCUAUUUUCCGUUGUAUUUUGCUGCUUCUCAUGUAUUCUGUUGUCGGUGUGGCUGUAUGGAUGAGGAGACCUUGGUGACGUGGAAGCCAAGCGUGGGAAACUGCUUGUGGGAGUUCGACCCUCUGGCGCUGCUCUAGCACAUUCUCGAAACUUCACUGUUUUGGGCUCUAUGAGCCCGCUUUGAAAUCGGACGGCAAGGGGCGAAGACCAUUGCUGCGGUAUUAAUCAGCAGACUAGGGUUUCCCCUUCUGAAACCAGUAUUUGAGUCGUUUGGGCCAUUGAGCCAUUUUUGCAUUUGGUCCUUUGGGUUCAUUGGGUUAGGAUUAUUAGGCCAUUCGGGCUAGAUUAAUUUGAUAUUUAAUUUUAAUGUUUGGGUUUGGUUUGGUUUAGGCCCAAAAAAUUUGUAAAUGGACAUUGGACCUUUAAAUUUGGAUCUUUUAUUUGUAUAUUUAUUUUGGUUCCUACCUUAUUUUCUGGGUUUAUUGUGGGCCGGGCAAAUUGGGCCUAUUACAAUACUGAUGAGUUUAUAUCCCAGUCUUUUAUUGAUUGUUACGUAUGAGUUUGAAUUUUUUUUGUAAAAGCUUGUUAUUU
rnacentral:lncRNA from 1 species